AUUUGGAUAGUGAUUCACAUCGUAUUUUGAUUACGAAAAUGAAAAUUAAAUUUUUCUCCAGAUA
rnacentral:tRNA from 1 species